UCAGACCGGAGUAAUCCAGGUCAGUUUCUAUCUAUAUAUGAGUUUCUUCUAGUACGAAAGGACCGAAGAAACACGGCCCAUAUCUUUACAAGCCGUAGCUACUAAAUUAUGAUUUAAACUCAAUAAUAUCGUAGCCCAUAAAUCUACUCAAGACAAGAGUCG
rnacentral:rRNA from 1 species